rnacentral:tRNA from 1 species
GGCUCCAUGACCCAAUGGUGGGGCAGCGGAUUCCAAAUCCGAAGGUUGUGGGUUCAAGUCCCACUGGGGUCA